CAGGUCACUCCUACGGGAGGCAGCAGUGGGGAAUAUUGGACAAUGGGGGCAACCCUGAUCCAGCAAUGCCGCGUGAGUGAUGAAGGCCUUAGGGUUGUAAAGCUCUUUUGCCAGGGACGAUGAUGACGGUACCUGGAGAAUAAGCCCCGGCUAACUUCGUGCCAGCAGCCGCGGUAAUACGAAGGGGGCUAGCGUUGUUCGGAAUUACUGGGCGUAAAGGGCGCGUAGGCGGUCUGAUAAGUUAGAUGUGAAAUUCCCGGGCUUAACCUGGGGGCUGCAUUUGAUACUGUCAGGCUUGAAUCCAGGAGAGGAUAGUGGAAUUCCCAGUGUAGAGGUGAAAUUCGUAGAUAUUGGGAAGAACACCAGUGGCGAAGGCGGCUAUCUGGACUGGCAUUGACGCUGAGGCGCGAAAGCGUGGGGAGCAAACAGGAUUAGAUACCCUGGUAGUCCACGCCGUAAACGAUGAGUGCUAGACGCUGGUAGGUUUACCUAUCGGUGUCGCAGCUAACGCAUUAAGCACUCCGCCUGGGGAGUACGGUCGCAAGAUUAAAACUCAAAGGAAUUGACG
rnacentral:rRNA from 1 species